rnacentral:rRNA from 1 species
UACGUAGGCAGCGAGCGUUGUUCGGAGUUACUGGGCGUAAAGAGUGCGUAGGCGGUGCUCCAAGUCUGGUGUGAAAUCUCCCGGCUUAACCGGGAGGGUGCGCCGGAAACUGGGGUGCUGGAGUGUGGGAGAGGUAAGCGGAAUUCCCGGUGUAGCGGUGAAAUGCGUAGAUAUCCGGAGGAACACCGGUGGCGAAGGCGGCUUCCUGGACCGACACUGACGCUGAGGCGCGAAAGCUAGGGGAGCAAACGGG